CGUCCUUCAUACUACCAAACCAAAUUUCAGCAAAAUCAGACCCAACAGCCUUCAAUUGAUUAGCCCCAGUUAUGGCAAUGGGGUUUAAGGAAUACCCAAAUGGGAAAUUGGGAUAACAAAACAGCAGGGGUUUAGUAGGGUUUUGAGUUGUUGGGUUGUUCUCUGUGGCUGUGGAGUCCCAGAGAGGAAUUGAGUUGUUUAUGAAAUUUGGUUUGGUAAUAUGAAGGACGUGAGUGAAGAGCGGCGGAUUUUUAAUGGCCGUUGCUAC
rnacentral:misc_RNA from 1 species